ACUUUGAAUGUUUGCAUCAUAAAUUAUCGAGGUGGUGAAUCCCCCUAUGCGGAGGGGCGACCAGUCAGUUACAGAAACCUGUAAAUGCAGCGCGGGCCAUGCCGACUGGGGCAUGCUCACCGGGAGGCACCCGGCACCACACUAAUGCCUUAACAUAGUGACUGUAAUGACAAAAGCCUUGCUCUUUUUGUCUGU
rfam:Klebsiella pneumoniae subsp. pneumoniae DSM 30104 Contig0008, whole genome shotgun sequence.